rnacentral:rRNA from 1 species
GAUGAACGCUGGCGGCGUGCCUAAUACAUGCAAGUCGAGCGAACGGACGAGAAGCUUGCUUCUCUGAUGUUAGCGGCGGACGGGUGAGUAACACGUGGAUAACCUACCUAUAAGACUGGGAUAACUUCGGGAAACCGGAGCUAAUACCGGAUGAUAUUUUGAACCGCAUGGUUCAAAAGUGAAAGACGGUCUUGCUGUCACUUAUAGAUUGAUCCGCGCUGCAUUAGCUAGUUGGUAAGGUAACGGCUUACCAAGGCAACGAUGCAUAGCCGACCUGAGAGGGUGAUCGGCCACACUGGAACUGGGACACGGUCCAGACUCCUACGGGAGGCAGCAGUAGGGAAUCUUCCGCAAUGGGCGAAAGCCUGACGGAGCAACGCCGCGUGAGUGAUGAAGGUCUUCGGAUCGUAAAACUCUGUUAUUAGGGAAGAACAUAUGUGUAAGUAACUGUGCACAUCUUGACGGUACCUAAUCAGAAAGCCACGGCUAACUACGUG